rnacentral:rRNA from 1 species
GGGGGCCCGCACAAGCGGCGGAGCAUGCGGAUUAAUUCGAUGCAACGCGAAGAACCUUACCAAGGCUUGACAUGUGCCAGACCGCCGUGGAAACACGGUUUCCCCUUUGGGGCUGGUUCACAGGUGGUGCAUGGUUGUCGUCAGCUCGUGUCGUGAGAUGUUGGGUUAAGUCCCGCAACGAGCGCAACCCUCGUUCCAUGUUGCCAGCGCGUAAAGGCGGGGACUCAUGGGAGACUGCCGGGGUCAACUCGGAGGAAGGUGGGGACGACGUCAAAUCAUCAUGCCCCUUAUGUCUUGGGCUUCACGCAUGCUACAAUGGCCGGUACAAUGGGUUGCGAUACUGUGAGGUGGAGCUAAUCCCAAAAAGCCGGUCUCAGUUCGGAUUGGGGUCUGCAACUCGACCCCAUGAAGUCGGAGUCGCUAGUAAUCGCAGAUCAGCAACGCUGCGGUGAAUACGUUCCCGGGCCUUGUACACACCGCCCGUCAAGUCACGAAAGUUGGUAACACCCGAAGCCGGUGGCCUAACCCCUUGUGGGAGGGAGCCGUCGAAGGUGGGACCGGCGAUUGGGACUAAGUCGUAACAAGGUAACCGUAAGGGC